AUGGCUCAGGAUGAACGCUGGCGGCGUGCCUAAUACAUGCAAGUCGAGCGAGGGGAUUCGUCCCCUAGCGGCGAACGGGUGAGUAACACGUAGGUAACCUGCCUUUAGGACUGGGGAUACCCGGACGAAAGUCCGGCUAAUACCGGAUAACAACGGAGAUCGCAUGAUUUCCGCUUGAAAGGUGCGUUUGCACCACCUUUAGAUGGACCUGCGGCGCAUUAGCUAGUUGGUGAGAUAACAGCCCACCAAGGCGAGGAUGUGUAGCCGACCUGAGAGGGUGACCGGCCACAAUGGGACUGAGACACGGCCCAUACUCCUACGGGAGGCAGCAGUAGGGAGUUUUCGGCAAUGGGCGAAAGCCUGACCGAGCAACGCCGCGUGAGUGAUGAAGGUCUUCGGAUUGUAAAGCUCUGUCAGGAGGGACGAAAUCUGCGAUCAGGAAAUGGGUUGUAGUUGACGGUACCUCGUUAGGAAGUGACGGCUAACUACGUGCCAGCCGCGGC
rnacentral:rRNA from 1 species